rnacentral:rRNA from 1 species
AGAGUUUGAUCCUGGCUCAGAACGAACGCUGGCGGCGUGGAUAAGACAUGCAAGUCGAACGCUGAUUUGCGAGUAGCAAUAUUUGCAAAUCGGAGUGGCGCAAGGGUGCGUAACACGUGGGUAUCUGCCGUGAAGUCUGGAAUAACUUGCUGAAAGGCGAGCUAAUACCGGAUGUGAACGAAAGUUCAAAGUUGGGGACCGCAAGGCCUGACGCUUCACGAUGAGCCCGCGGCCUAUCAGCUAGUUGGUGAGGUAACGGCUCACCAAGGCUAAGACGGGUAGCUGGUCUGAGAGGACGACCAGCCACACUGGAACUGAGACACGGUCCAGACACCUACGGGUGGCAGCAGUCGAGAAUUUUUCUCAAUGGGCGAAAGCCUGAAGGAGCGACGCCGCGUGGGGGAUGAAUGGCUUCGGCCCGUAAACCCCUGUCAUUUGCGAACAAAUUGUUUCACCUAACACGUGAAGCAUUGAUUGUAGCGGAAGAGGAAGGGACGGCUAACUCUGUGCCAGCAGCCGCGGUAAUACAGAGGUCCCGAGCGUUGUUCGGAUUCACUGGGCGUAAAGGGUGCGUAGGCGGCCAGGUAAGUUUGAUGUGAAAUCCCGCAGCUUAACUGCGGAACUGCAUUGAAUACUAUUUGGCUGGAGGAAUGGAGGGGAGACUGGAAUUCUCGGUGUAGCAGUGAAAUGCGUAGAUAUCGAGAGGAACACCAGUGGCGAAGGCGAGUCUCUGGACAUUUCCUGACGCUGAGGCACGAAAGCCAGGGGAGCAAACGGGAUUAGAUACCCCCGUAGUCC